CCCCACUGCUAUCGGGAUGGGACUAAGACAUGCUAGUCGAGCGUCUCCAAGCUAUGGAAGAGACGCGGCAGACAGCUCAGUAACACGUGGCUAACCUGCCCUUGGGACAAGGACAACUCCGGGAAACUGGGGCUAAUCCCUGAUAAGUGAGAACUCCUGGAAUGGAUUCUCGCUGAAAGGACGUUUAGACCAUGCUUCUAGGCGUCGCCCAAGGAGGGGGCCGCGACCGAUCAGGUUGUUGGUGAGGUAACGGCUCACCAAGCCUUUAACCGGUACGGGCCGUGAGAGCGGGAGCCCGGAGAUGGGCACUGAGACAAGGGCCCAGGCCCUACGGGGCGCAGCAGUCGCGAAAACUCCGCAAUACACGAAAGUGUGACGGGGCCAUCCCGAGUGCCAUCCGCUGAGGAUGGCUUUUCCCCAGUGUAUAAAGCUGGGGGAAUAAGGAGAGGGCAAGCCUGGUGUCAGCCGCCGCGGUAAUACCAGCUCUCCGAGUGGUGGGGAUGUUUAUUGGGCCUAAAGCAUUCGUAGCCUGCUUGGCAAGUCCUCCGUUAAAUCCAACGAUUCAAUCGUUGGGCUGCGGGGGAUACUGUCCGGCUAGGGGGCGGGAGAGGCCGACGGUAUCCUCGGGGUAGGGGUGAAAUCCUAUAAUCCCGGGAGGACCACCAGUGGCGAAGGCUGUCGGCUAGAACGCGCUCGACGGUGAGGGAUGAAAGCUGGGGGAGCGAACCGGAUUAGAUACCCGGGUAGUCCCAGCUGUAAACGAUGCAGGCUAGGUGUUGGCGCGGCUACGUGCCGCUCCAGUGCCGCAGGGAAGCCGUUAAGCCUGCCGCCUGGGAAGUACGGCCGCAAGGCUGAAACUUAAAGGAAUUGGCGGGGGAGCACCACAAGGUGUGAAGCUUGCGGUUU
rnacentral:rRNA from 1 species